UAAAAAAAUCACCGUGAAAAGACCCAAGACACUAUGGGAUGUAAAAUUUAGUUUUUUAUUUUACAAGUGGAUUAGUUAUUUCACAGCAGCUAAGGAGAGGUGGUCUAGGGAAUUGGAAGCUGGGUGCAUCCGGAAAAUCCAAUCACCAAGGGGGGAGGUAGGCUAGAUUAGUUAACAUACCAAAUCCUAUUUCACUUGGCAACAUUCCAUUUGAAUCCAGGCUGAGGUUUCAAAGUUGUUAAAUAUCUAUCUAUAUUGAAGAGAUUAUCACACGAAUCUGGCGACUCACCAUGCACGCACGCACGCACUAUGAUAAAAAACCGACUGAGUUUGAGAACCACCACAUAGGCCGCAGUCAGCAUAAAGCGAUGUCCCAUUGCCACCCAUCAGCAGUGCCACUACCCCGAACUUAAGUGAUAGGGCUUUCACAUGUGACCUGGAUAGAGAGAGAAAUACGAAACAAAAACUCGCGUGUAAAACAAUAUAAGGAUUUUGUCAAGAACAAGUGUGCCAGCUAAAACCCUUUCGAAACAAAUGAGAACCACCACCGCUAUAUUAGGUGACAAAGGUGGUGGUGCUAUAAAACCAACCUGAACCACCACUACACUAUCAAAGCUCGGAACCGUAAGCCAAUCAUUUUACAAGCCCAUCCCCCAAGAUAGGGAAAAAGAAAGAAUCAAUGUCAAACACAUCCAACUAUACCCCGGUAUACAUCCCUUAGUCAAAAUCUUCUUAUGUACUGCUGCUAGAUUACCCUGGAGCUGUAUAUCGUGGGAAUAUCACACCAACCUCUUAAAACAAGGAGGUGUCUGCAUUAGGAGAAAGGCAAGAAA